rnacentral:rRNA from 1 species
UACGUAGGGGGCAAGCGUUGUCCGGAUUUAUUGGGUUUAAAGGGUGCGUAGGCGGCUUUGUAAGUCAGUGGUGAAAUAUGGCAGCUUAACUGUCAAGGUGCCAUUGAUACUGCGGAGCUUGAGUACAGAUGAGGUAGGCGGAAUUGACGGUGUAGCGGUGAAAUGCUUAGAUAUCGUCAAGAACACCUAUAGCGAAGGCAGCUUACUAGGCUGUAACUGACGCUGAGGCACGAAAGUGUGGGGAUCAAACAGG